rfam:Candidatus Caedibacter acanthamoebae, complete genome.
GGGCGCUUAGCUCAGUUGGUAGAGCAGCUGACUCUUAAUCAGCGGGUCAUAGGUUCGAGCCCUAUAGCGCCCA